AUGGAUUGUUUGGUUCGCAACAGCUCGUCCUUUUAAGUCAUCAGCUCUCCUCGGACGCGACGUCAAACAAGAGGUUUCUUCAGUCUCUCGCUCUUUUCGAGCUCAGCGCAUAGAUCAGCGAACGCGGAAGCCAGAGAGAGCGAGACCGUGAAAGGGCUCAAGCCAGAUCUGGCGGGAAAUCCAAGCAGCCCAAAAACGAUGGAUUAAUCCCCGAACAACGCCGACAAAGGGACGCCAAAGCGCUUCAAGAAAAGGCGGCAAAGAAGGCGGCGCAGACGGGAGGGGUCAGCGGCGGUAAAAAUUGACAUGGGUUGAAGAUUAGGGUUUAGAUGAAAUGGGAGUGUGUAAUGUAAUUGUGUGGUGAGCAUUAGAUGGGGGAUUUUUGGGUUUUGGAUUUGGAGUCUGUUUGAGUCUUUGAGAAUAUUGAGAUGAACAAUCUAAUAGAAAGUGUUUGUCUUGGUUGGCAUUUUGGCGUUGUGCUGUGUAUUGUUCGAUUCUGAAAGCUUUCAACUUUAUGCCUGGUAAUCUAGCAAUUGACUAUUUAUGUGA